AGUGAACGCUGGCGGUAGGCCUAACACAUGCAAGUCGAACGGCAGCACAGUAAGAGCUUGCUCUUACGGGUGGCGAGUGGCGGACGGGUGAGGAAUACAUCGGAAUCUACUUUUUCGUGGGGGAUAACGUAGGGAAACUUACGCUAAUACCGCAUACGACCUACGGGUGAAAGCAGGGGAUCUUCGGACCUUGCGCGAUUGAAUGAGCCGAUGUCGGAUUAGCUAGUUGGCGGGGUAAAGGCCCACCAAGGCUACGAUCCGUAGCUGGUCUGAGAGGAUGAUCAGCCACACUGGAACUGAGACACGGUCCAGACUCCUACGGGAGGCAGCAGUGGGGAAUAUUGGACAAUGGGCGCAAGCCUGAUCCAGCCAUACCGCGUGGGUGAAGAAGGCCUUCGGGUUGUAAAGCCCUUUUGUUGGGAAAGAAAAGCAGCAGGUUAAUACCCCGCUGUCCUGACGGUACCCAAAGAAUAAGCACCGGCUAACUUCGUG
rnacentral:rRNA from 1 species